rnacentral:rRNA from 1 species
ACGAACGCUGGCGGCGUGCUUCACACAUGCCAGUCGCACGGAAAGGCCCUGCUUUUGUGGGGUGCUCGAGUGGCGAACGGGUGAGUAACACGUGAGUAACCUGCCCUUGACUUUGGGAUAACUUCAGGAAACUGGGGCUAAUACCGGAUAGGAGCUCCUGCUGCAUGGUGGGGGUUGGAAAGUUUCGGCGGUUGGGGAUGGACUCGCGGCUUAUCAGCUUGUUGGUGGGGUAGUGGCUUACCAAGGCUUUGACGGGUAGCCGGCCUGAAAGGGUGACCGGCCACAUUGGGACUGAGAUACGGCCCAGACUCCUACGGGAGGCAGCAGUGGGGAAUAUUGCACAAUGGGCGGAAGCCUGAUGCAGCAACGCCGCGUGCGGGAUGACGGCCUUCGGGUUGUAAACCGCUUUCGCCUGUGACGAAGCGUGAGUGACGGUAAUGGGUAAAGAAGCACCGGCUAACUACGUG